AGCUCUGGGUUUUUUUUUGCAGAUUUUCAAAUAAAACUCAGAGAUUCCUUGUAUGACUCUCUCAGGUCUCUCUUUUGUGGUAUUUUUGGAUCCUUACCAAGGCAGUGAUGGUAUAUGCCUUCUCUCAAGAUAUGUGGUAUUUAUGGUAUAAAGCAUAAUGACAUUGCCUUCUCUCUCACCCUACUCUAAUAAGGCUUUUAUAUCUGGAGCUCAUAGGUGGGAGAUAAAGUAUACAUACUUACAAGACAUUUAUUGCAUAGUCAAACCAUGGAUCCAAAGAAACAAAUCAAUAAGCCAAAUCAAGAUGUGCAUUUGUGGCGAAUGAAUGGUGUAUGGUGAUAAUAAUGGUGAAGGCAAUGGUGGUGGAAGUCUAAUUCUACUUUGCUCUUUGAGGGGAUACAUACCCUUCUUGCUUUUGAAACUUUAUGAGGAGAAUAAGAUGCUCUUCUUUUUCUUGUCUCUCAGGUGGGCAUCUUGUACCCCUAAUUCUACUGUCGGACACUUGUCCAUUUUUACCUCUCGUCUCACUUUUUCUUUUCUUUCGAGGUUCCGAGCACUUGCUCCUUUUUAUUUCCUCGUAUCUCCUUUUUUUUCUCCUUUUUUUCAGAGCAUUCAUCUCUUGAGAUAAUAUAGCAAGUGGUAGUAACAAGAUAACUUGAGCAUUUAUUUCACAAGAGAAAAACAAAAAUAUUUUUAGUUAUUCUCUCCCGGAUUAGGAGUAGAAUAGUUUUGGGUGAUUCUGGAGAUGGAAUGGGUGGAUAUAUGUGGAUGGUACUUCCGGAGUAGAAGUAGCAUAUGUGAGUGAACGUGCAAGUGAAAUCUUGAUUUAACCACAUGACAAGCUCCUAAGGGUCUACACACCACACUCAAUGCUCAUAAGCAGUAAAUAGUAAAUGUGUGGCUCAAAGUCUAGCAAGCAUGUAUAUAUGGCUGUGGUAGGAAUUUAAACUCUCAUCAUACAGGAACUCAUCAUGCAAUAUUUUAAAGAUUUUCAAAGAUAAAAUUCUUCAGAACUCUAGCAUCUCUAGGAACAGAUAAACAGCAGCUCAACCUUCCCAUAUCGUAUCCGUUAACAACUUAGACUUCAGAUCAAGUUUUUAUCCCACAAGUUUAGGUCUAGAGCAAGCUUUAAAUUAUAACAGUUAUAUCUAUAAACUUGAGAGAGAACUUAAAAUUUGCAAAUUAGGCAGAGCAACUAUUUAUCAUAUCCAUGCUUAUGUUUUAUUUAGAUACAGAUUAGCAUAGCCACUUUAUUUAUUUAUUAAACACACUAAGCAAAAGACAUAUAUAUAUAUAAGCAUAAAAUCUUUAUUUGGUUUUUCCUAGUUCUUGUAUUUUAAUAUUCUAAUAUAGUAUAAGUAUAAAGAUAGAUAGAAAUACUUAUCGGGAAAAAUGGGGGUGCUCUCCCCCAAGCUGAAUUUUGACGUAAUUUCUCUUGACGUAGCUAGCAGGUGGCAGAGGUGUAUUUGAAAGUCAGCAGCAUUCUGACAGCGAUUACAAUGUCCUCCGUCUGCUAGUCUUCUUGAUUCUUAAAUUCUGUGGAGCUCAAAUAGACAACAUAGCUUGUGGAACUGAUUAAGUGUUAGCAUAAAUAUCUAGCCUUUAUCAUGUUGAGACUCCUUAAUAAAUAUUACUCCCUGUUUUUAUAUUUUUAUUUUUUAUAGAGCAGAAUUAUUUAUUUUUAUGCCACCACAGUGAAUGUACUUAUAGGUUUUAUGCCACUCGUCUACUCACAUGGGGCUUACAGUUUUUUCAUAUUUUUAUUUUCUUUUUAGGAUAAUACGAACAUGAUUAACUAAGUAAACUCUUUGAAAUAAUUGAAAGGGAAAGGAUAACUACCAAGUUUACCUCUUGGCAGGGCGUUCGGUGUUUUUAAGUCCUCCGAACGGGACUCUCCAAUUUCUUAAUCGUCCUGAGGUUCGUUGGGUGGCAAAGUCGGUACUUCCGGCAGCGCCUCCUCUUCUUGUAUAGUUAUCUUCAUUUUCCAUACCUGACUCGGUGCUUCAAUCUCCUCUGGAUAAUUCUGUUUAAACUCAAUGUCUUCUGAUCUUACAACUUCUCCUUCAUAGUCUGCCCAUCCGUCCUUGAUGAUCUGCCUCCUCUAGUUGUGGUUGCGUCGUUUUCUUACCUGCUUAGAUUCUUCAAUGAUAUAGUUAGGGUCAGUAAAAUAACGGCGUACCUUCUCUGAGGGGAAGUGCAUAUGGACUUCUCCGGUUCCAAUGUAGAUAAUUGCUUUAACGGUGCUGAGGAACGGUCUUCCAAGGAUGAUGGGUGGAUCAUACUCGUCUUCUCUAUGUCAAUAACUUGAAAGUCUGUGUAGACAAAGUGAUCGUCUAUUUUGACUGGGACAUCAGAUACUAUUCCUUUAACUUCUCGAAAUGUCUGAUCUGCCAUCUGGAGCUGAAUGUAUGUUGGUCUUAGUGGCAUGGUCCCGAACAAGAGCCGAUAGGUGACUGCGGCCAUUAUGUUGACGCCUGAUCCGGUGUCGCAAAUCGUCUUUGUAGAAGUUGUAUCCAUUUAUGGAGCAGUAGAUGCUUGGCAUUCCUGGGUCGUCCUUCUUGGUCAAAAACGGUGACUUAAGUUGAUGAUCUUGGCCUCCAUGGACUACAGUGACCAUCUUAGCUGACUCGGUCCACACUUGCUUGUUCCUGUUUCUCCUGUUGGUCCUCUUCCUUGAUUCACGUCUGGAUUGAUCUGGAAUUUGUGUAGUCUUGUUCUUGAAGAAAAUGUCUCCUUCUUCCCUUUGACGUAGAAACUGAUCUUGGCAGCACUGGCAUAGAUGAUAGCUCCCGUGGUGUUCAAGAAUGGCCUUCCUAGGAUGAUAGGUGCUCUCUCAUCAUUUCCGGUCUCUACCACUACGAAGUCUGCUGGGGCGUACAAGGUACCAACUCGGACACAAAGGUUCCUCACUAUUCCUUUUGGAAAAGUUAUCGUCUGAUCUGCAAACUGCAAACACAUGGUUGUCUCUAAUAAAGGAUAUGUAAAGAAUUUCUCAUAGAGUACCCUAGGUAUAAUGUUGACGCUAGAGCCAAAGUCACAGAGUGCUUCUGGAACGUCCACCAUGCCAAUGGAGAUCGGGAUGACGGGGCAUCCUGGAUCGCCUCUCUUGACCGGCAGAAGGUCAGUAGAGAAUUCAUUGACGGGGUUACUCCAAUUACCUGCAUCAAACAUGUCUACAAGAUUUGCAGAUUCUAAUCCUUCCGGUUGUGAUGGUAUACCGGGGUUAGUAGUAGGAACAGCAGCAGCUAUUUGAUUUAACUGGGAUUCAAUCAUUUUAUUAAAGCUAAUUUGAUUCUUGAUGGCAGUAGAAAAAUUAUCCAUUCUAUUAUUUAUAUUUUCUAGCAUUUUAUCAUUAGAUGCCAAUUUCUUAGAUAGGUUAUCCAUUAGCUUUCCUUGAUUAGACACUAACUCUCUUAAAGGUGGAAAAUUAUUAUUAUUGUUGUAAGAAUUGUUACCUUGAUAAUUACCUGAGUAGUUGGGCCUCUGUUGAUUCCAACCUUGAUUUUGUUGAGGACGGUUGUAGUAGUAGUUGUUGUUGUUGAUGUAGUUCACAUCCUCAAGCAUCUCAGGGCAGUGGUUGCCUGAGUGUCCAGUGUCUCCACACUCCUCACAAGUCAUGUGAGAGUCGUAGAUGUGCAUAACUUCUUUCUUGUCUCCAGCUCUAUCAUCGAGCUUCUUCAUGAGCAGGUCUAGCUUUGCAGACAGCAUGUCUACCUCCUUCAGCUGAUGCAUACCUCCACCUCUCUUGCGUGUCUGGGUCCUCUCUUCAUUCCAGCUUUGAUUGGACGCCAUCUUCUCCACAAGAGCUGUGGCUUGUGGUAUAGUAAGUGAUAAGAAUGCUCCUCCAGCUGCAGCAUCCAUAGUCUCUCGGGCACUGUUGCUUAGCCCAUGAUAGAAUGUCUGCAUCAAUAGCCAACUCUCCAUUCCAUGAUGGGGACAUUCUAGGAUGUAGUCUUGAAAGCGCUCUCAUGCUUCUGGAACAGAUUCAUCAUUUUGUUACUGAAAACUUGUAAUCUUCCCACGGAGAGCAUUGGUCUUGCCCAUGGGAAAGAACUUAGCCAGGAAGUUUGUUGAGCAGAGUGCCCACGUAGUAUUCUUCUCCUUUGUAGCGUAGAACCACUGCUUCGCUCUUCCUAGCAGUGAGAAUGGGAAGAGGCGAAGUAGUAUAGCAUCUUUGGAAACUCCUGCUAUGGUGAAUGUGUUGCAAAUCUCCAGGAAGUGUUGUAAAUGAGCACUAGCAUCUUCGUGUGCCUUCCCACAGAACUGGUUGGAUUGCACCAUGUUGAUAAGUCCAGGCUUGAGCUCAAAGUUGCCGUCGAUUUCUGCAGCAGGUCCAGUGCGGAUGUUGUCCGUAGUGGGAGCUGAGAACUCGCGGAUUGAUUUGUUCGCCAUGGCUUCGAACUCUGAAGACAAGUUUCGGUGAUCUUCUUGAUUGGAUGAAGCUUCUUCGUGAAGUGUUGAUGAUCUCUUCUUGAGCUUGGCCCUCAUCUUCUUGAAUAAUGCUUCGGGAUUGUGAACAAAAUUUCUUGGAAGAUGUCUUCUAUUCAUACAUUCCCCUGCAUAAGAUAAAAUAGAAAAAUAUCGGGGUAAAACUGUAUGAGAGAAUAGAUAAGCUCAAUCAUAUUAGUGAUGCGAAUGAUAACUCAGAAUCUUUUAUUCCAUUCCUGAUUGGUAAUCAACCUUCCCCGGCAACGGCGCCAAAAAUGCUUGUUGGGUAUUCUUAACAUCAUUACCAAAAGUAGACUAAGUUCUCUAAAUCUAGUAACGGUGCCAAAAAUGCCAAACCUAUCCCUCACACCACUUAAGCCAAGUUGUCAUCCCCAGCAUGAUAUAAGAGACGCGGUAUUGAAAUAUGCAAUUGCUCUUCUAAAUAAAUAAUGAAUGGGAUCUGCAAGCGCACAGAUUAAUACCGAUGCAGCAUUUUAACCGGAAAGUAUUCUAGAUAUCGUUAUUUAUAUUUUUACCACUAGGAAGGGAUUAGCGAUCAUCACUAUUGAUUACAGAAUAGAAUAUGAGAUUGAGCAUCUAUCAUUGCAUGUAUAAUUGAGAACAUUAUAUCUAACUCUUCAUACAGGGAUAAGUGUCACAUAAAAGAUAUAUGAAAUAAUAAUAGUGACAAGGAUAACUAAUCUGAUCUAGCCACAUAAUAAAUAUGAUAAGCACCUCAAUUAGAUACUCUAGAAAGUCAUUAGCAUGGUAUUAGAACGAACUACAAGAAUAUUCCCUAAGUUAUUCUUAACUAUAUAGUCUAGCAUAUCAUAGUUAGUGCAAGCAUACUUAGCAAUCAUUGCGAGACAAGACUACGCCCAUGCAUAGUGAUAUUAGCAAGGAAUAUGAGAAACAUAGCAAUCACUCCCCUGUAAUAAUGUUGCUCUGCCAGCCCAAUACACGAGAGGGGGACUAUAUAAGAAUCAAUGAAGCUGUCACUAUCACGAACCACCCCACGAUCUGGCAUAUUGGGUACAAUCGCAGAUAAAUACGGUAUAAGCACCACGCCUACACAAUAUCUAUCAUUUACCCAUGGAUCCGAUGGAUAAACGCUAUACGAUCCUAAGCAUGUAUAUAGAUCGAAUCUAACUAAGCCAAGUACAUAACUAUGAUAAACUAAGAACAAUAUAAUCUUGAAUAUAAGCAAGUAGAGCAAAGUCAUAAGCAAUAUAUUGAAGUAGAACAAAGUCAUAUUCAUAAUAUUGAAGAACAAAGAUAAUUAUAAAGCAAUUAGAAGCACAAUUAGAGAAUUACCAAGAAUCCUCCUGACAGAUCCGGAAACCAAUCGAAGAUUGACUCCUUCUAGUUCUAAUCCUAUGUAGCUAUGCUAAUCUAGAUGUCUAAUUGAUGUGGUGGCUCUAAUCAUGAUCAGAGGCUUCUUCUCCCUUGAUGGAACAAUGAAUUAGGGUUGAGAGGCUCUCUCCUCCAGGGGCCAGGGGGUCUGGUUUUAUAGUCCCUUCAAGUGAAUAUGGGCCAUUGGAUCAAACCGACAUAGAUUGUAUGGUUUAGAUUCAUCCUUUAGGUCGGUGGAGAUCUCUGUUGGGUAUUUUAAACGCAAACAGAAAAAAUCCGCAAGCGCACGGAUACCGAUGUAGCCUUCACCCGGGAGUAUUCCAGAGUAUCGAUUUUCCACAGGGAACGUGAGUGUACUAAUUAAGAUCCAAGAUCGCCCAAGGAUAACUAUAUGAAUAUUUUUGGUGGGAAGAGAGGAAGUUUCCUGAUAGUUCUCUAGUUGAUCUAAGAAUCAAGAUUUACUUCAAGAUUAUCUAUAUCGGGACAUCAGAGCACUAACCACGAAAAGAGAUGAGAAGGGGGCUAGGAAGGUCUGACUACGGUCCUACAAACACCGAUCCGAACGUGGUGGAAUACGUCGACCGUUAGGGCUGUCACUACCCUAAGGCUACCACAACAAUCCGCAGGAUUGGGUGCAAUUCCAGGUAAUCGCAAGACUAAACACCACGUCUAAUCUAUUAAUUACUACUCUAAUGUUUCAAAGAUUAGAGCACUUGAUGCAAGCGGGAAUCCAAUAAAUAACUUGAAUGUAAAUAAAAGUAAUUAGAGAACUCAGGAGUUAUGAGUUGAAGAACCUGGAGAACGAUGAAGAACGAACCAGAUGCUGCAAAAGUACAAUGUUGAGGAAGAUCCGACAGAUCCGGCUCCUCCUCCGCUCUCCUCUUCUCUCUCCCUAUUUUCUAGAUUACAACUAGAACUAACUAGAACUAGAACUAGAGGAACUAGAACUAGAACUAGAUGAACUAGAACUAGAUCUAAAUGAACUAGAGGUAGAACUAGAAGAACUAAAGGGAUCCUCUCUACUUGGAUGAAGAAUUGAAACCCUAGCUUUGAUUCUGUAGAAGAGGUAUGAUCUGCAGGGGCCAGGGGGGUCUGGUUUUAUAGUCCCUUCAAGUGAAUCUGGGCCGUCGGAUCAAACCGACAUUGAUCGCACGGUUUUCCUUGAUCCUUUAGGUCGGUGGAGCAUAAUCCGCGAAACGUGUCCUGAUCGGGCACUGUAGCUGGGCGGGCGCCCAGGAGAGUUGGGCGGGCGCCCUGCCUCCGAGCCCGAUUUCCUUCCCGUUCGUUCCCGUGGCUUCUGGAGUCUUCUAGAUGAUAGAAAAUUGUGCGGCACGUUAAUAUCUCUAUGUAAACCCGACGUGUGGGCCUUUCUUCCGUAUUUCUUGAUAACCCCCUGCAGAAAUAGACAAACACCAAAACUCGUGGAAUUCUGUCAGAUAAAACCCUAAGUCUAGGUGUUGGUUGCAUUUGGAUCCUUUUCCAUGAUUAGUUGAUGGUUAAAUAUGAGCAUUAAGGACCGUCAACAAGCUCCCCCAAGCUUAACCUUUGCUCGUCCCUGAGCAAAGAUGGAGUCAAAAGUUUCUGUAGUGGUUUUAUGCCUUAAAGAUAGAUAUGCGUUCAAACAAGAUCUCAUCUCUGGGUUAGGGUAAACUGUUAAGAUUUAAACUUACUCAUAUUACCUUCCACCAUGGGGCUUGCAACCGUCACUUGUGUCUUGAGCAGUUAAAAGAUAGAACGGUCUAGUCAAGCGCCAUGUCUUUUGUUCUUCGAUUGACUAUAGCUUUAGAGUUUUUGCAGAUUUUCAAAUAAAACUCAGAGAUUCCUUGUAUGACUCUCUCUAGUCUCUCUUUUGUGGUAUUUUUGGAUCCUUACCAAGGCAGUAAUGGUAUAUGCCUUCUCUCAAAGUAUGUAGUAUUUUUGGUAUGGGGCAUAGUGGCAUUGCCUUCUCUCUCACCCUACUCUAAUAAGGUUUUGAUAUCUGGAGCUCAUAGGUGGGAGACAGCUAAUACAUACUUACAAAACAUUUAUUGCAUAGUCAAACCAUGGAUCCAGAAGAACAAGUCAAUAAGUCAAAUCAAGAUAUGCAUGUGUGGCGAAUGAAUGGUGUAUGGUGAUGAUUGUGAUAAUGGUGAAAGUCUAAUUCUACUUAUGCUCUUUUGAGGGGAUACAUACCUUUCUUGCUCUUUUGAAACUUUUUGAGAAGAAUGAGAUGCUCUAUAUUUUCUUUUUCUUUUCUCUCAGGUGGGUAUCUUGUACCCCUAAUUCUACUGUCGGACACUUGUCCAUUUUUACCUCUCGUCUCACUUUUUCUUUUCUUCGAGGUUCCGGGCACUUGCCCCUUUUUAUUUCCUCAUAUUCUUUUUUUUCUUUCUUCUUUUUUUUUUCUUUUUUUUAUCUUCUUUUUUUUAGAGCACUCAUCUCAUGCGAUAAUAUAGCAAGUGGUAGUAACAAGAUAACUUGAGCAUUUAUUUCACAAGGGAAAACAGAAAUGUUUUUGCCUAUUCUCUCCCUGAUUAGGAGUAGAAUAUUUUUAGGUGGUUCUGGAGAUGGAAAUGGAUGGAUAUAUGUGGAUGCGUACUUCCGGAGUAGAAGCAGCAUGUAUGAGUGAACG
rnacentral:lncRNA from 1 species